rnacentral:rRNA from 1 species
GACGAACGCUGGCGGCGUGCCUAAUACAUGCAAGUAGAACGCUGAAGAGAGGAGCUUACUCUUCUUGGAUGAGUUGCGAACGGGUGAGUAACGCGUAGGUAACCUGCCUUGUAGCGGGGGAUAACUAUUGGAAACGAUAGCUAAUACCGCAUAACAAUGGAUGACACAUGUCAUUUAUUUGAAAGGGGCAAUUGCUCCACUACAAGAUGGACCUGCGUUGUAUUAGCUAGUAGGUGAGGUAAUGGCUCACCUAGGCGACGAUACAUAGCCGACCUGAGAGGGUGAUCGGCCACACUGGGACUGAGACACGGCCCAGACUCCUACGGGAGGCAGCAGUAGGGAAUCUUCGGCAAUGGGGGCAACCCUGACCGAGCAACGCCGCGUGAGAGAAGAAGGUUUUCGGAUCGUAAAGCUCUGUUGUAAGUCAAGAACGGGUGUGAGAGUGGAAAGUUCACACUGUGACGGUAGCUUACCAGAAAGGGACGGCUAACUACGUG